rnacentral:rRNA from 1 species
AUUGAACGCUGGCGGCAGGCCUAACACAUGCAAGUCGAGCGGGGUUUUCGGACCUAGCGGCGGACGGGUGAGUAAUGCGUAGGAAGCUGCCCGAUAGAGGGGGAUACCAGUUGGAAACGACUGUUAAUACCGCAUAAUGUCUACGGACCAAAGUGUGGGACCUUCGGGCCACAUGCUAUCGGAUGCGCCUACGUGGGAUUAGCUAGUUGGUGAGGUAAUGGCUCACCAAGGCGACGAUCUCUAGCUGGUUUGAGAGGAUGAUCAGCCACACUGGAACGGGGACACGGUCCAGACUCCUACGGGAGGCAGCAGUGGGGAAUAUUGGACAAUGGGCGCAAGCCUGAUCCAGCCAUGCCGCGUGUGUGAAGAAGGCCUUCGGGUUGUAAAGCACUUUCAGCGAGGAGGAAGGGAUGUAUGUUAAUAGCAUGCAUUUUUGACGUUACUCGCAGAAGAAGCACCGGCUAACUCUGUGCCAGCAGCCGCGGUAACAC